GUGCUUGGGGGAGACAGGCGGUGUCACCUGUGCUUAGACCAGGGGCGGUGGGCGGGUACCCUUGAGGUGGCAAGGUCACACUGCUCAUCAGAAGUUUCUCACUAGGGUCUUCUCCGGCUCAGCCUUUGACUGAAGCUGGUCUGGAGACAGGGGCGUUAGAGAAGUGACUCAUAGAUGACCUAAAGAAGCGGGGCCACUCAAGGACCCAGGACAGAGGGAAGAGGGCCAACCCAGCUGGACCGCAGGCAAACCCCAUGGCCUUUGAGAGAAGAGAGAAGAGGACCCGGUGAAACAUGCUGCUGCUGAAGAAACACACGGAGGACAUCAGCAGCGUCUACGAGAUCCGCGAGAGGCUCGGCUCGGGUGCCUUCUCCGAGGUGGUGCUGGCCCAGGAGCGGGGCUCCGCACACCUCGUGGCCCUCAAGUGCAUCCCCAAGAAGGCCCUCCGGGGCAAGGAGGCCCUGGUGGAGAACGAGAUCGCAGUGCUCCGUAGGAUCAGUCACCCCAACAUCGUCGCUCUGGAGGAUGUCCACGAGAGCCCUUCCCACCUCUACCUGGCCAUGGAACUGGUGACGGGUGGCGAGCUGUUUGACCGCAUCAUGGAGCGCGGCUCCUACACAGAGAAGGAUGCCAGCCAUCUGGUGGGUCAGGUCCUCGGCGCCGUUUCCUACCUGCACAGCCUGGGGAUCGUGCACCGGGACCUCAAGCCCGAAAACCUCCUGUAUGCCACGCCCUUUGAGGACUCGAAGAUCAUGGUCUCUGACUUUGGACUCUCCAAAAUCCAGGCUGGCAACAUGCUAGGCACCGCCUGUGGGACCCCUGGAUAUGUGGGUGAGGGACGACACCCUGAGGCUUGCUGGGAGUGGGGUGGCCUGGGGGACCCUAGACAGCCGGGAAGGCUGUUGUGCCCGUUGUCUUUGUGUGGGCCAUUCCUGGGCUUGAGUAGGCCGAGCCAGUGACACUGAGCGGCAUGGCUGCGUGUGUGCCUGUGCGUGCGUCUGUCUGUCUCUGGCCCCCAGCCCCAGAGCUCUUGGAGCAGAAACCCUACGGGAAGGCCGUAGAUGUGUGGGCCCUGGGCGUCAUCUCCUACAUCCUGCUGUGUGGGUACCCCCCCUUCUACGAUGAGAGCGACCCUGAGCUCUUCAGCCAGAUCCUGAGGGCCAGCUAUGAGUUUGACUCUCCUUUCUGGGAUGACAUCUCAGAAUCAGCCAAAGACUUCAUCCGGCACCUUCUGGAGCGAGACCCCCAGAAGAGGUUCACCUGCCAACAGGCCUUGCAGCAUCUUUGGAUCUCUGGGGACACAGCCUUCGACAGGGACAUCUUAGGCUCUGUCAGUGAGCAGAUCCAGAAGAACUUUGCUCGGACACACUGGAAGCGAGCCUUCAAUGCCACCUCGUUCCUGCGCCACAUCCGGAAGCUGGGGCAGAGCCCAGAGGGCGA
rnacentral:sRNA from 1 species